GAUGAACGCUGGCGGCGUGCCUAAUACAUGCAAGUCGAGCGAACGGACGAGAAGCUUGCUUCUCUGAUGUUAGCGGCGGACGGGUGAGUAACACGUGGAUAACCUACCUAUAAGACUGGGAUAACUUCGGGAAACCGGAGCUAAUACCGGAUAAUAUUUUGAACCGCAUGGUUCAAAAGUGAAAGACGGUCUUGCUGUCACUUAUAGAUGGAUCCGCGCUGCAUUAGCUAGUUGGUAAGGUAACGGCUUACCAAGGCAACGAUGCAUAGCCGACCUGAGAGGGUGAUCGGCCACACUGGAACUGAGACACGGUCCAGACUCCUACGGGAGGCAGCAGUAGGGAACCUUCCGCAAUGGGCGAAAGCCUGACGGAGCAACGCCGCGUGAGUGAUGAAGGUCUUCGGAUCGUAAAACUCUGUUAUUAGGGAAGAACAUAUGUGUAAGUAACUGUGCACAUCUUGACGGUACCUAAUCAGAAAGCCACGGCUAACUACGUGCCAGCAGCCGCGGUAAUACGUAGGUGGCAAGCGUUAUCCGGAAUUAUUGGGCGUAAAGCGCGCGUAGGCGGUUUUUUAAGUCUGAUGUGAAAGCCCACGGCUCAACCGUGGAGGGUCAUUGGAAACUGGAAAACUUGAGUGCAGAAGAGGAAAGUGGAAUUCCAUGUGUAGCGGUGAAAUGCGCAGAGAUAUGGAGGAACACCAGUGGCGAAGGCGACUUUCUGGUCUGUAACUGACGCUGAUGUGCGAAAGCGUGGGGAUCAAACAGGAUUAGAUACCCUGGUAGUCCACGCCGUAAACGAUGAGUGCUAAGUGUUAGGGGGUUUCCGCCCCUUAGUGCUGCAGCUAACGCAUUAAGCACUCCGCCUGGGGAGUACGACCGCAAGGUUGAAACUCAAAGGAAUUGACGGGGACCCGCACAAGCGGUGGAGCAUGUGGUUUAAUUCGAAGCAACGCGAAGAACCUUACCAAAUCUUGACAUCCUUUGACAACUCUAGAGAUAGAGCCUUCCCCUUCGGGGGACAAAGUGACAGGUGGUGCAUGGUUGUCGUCAGCUCGUGUCGUGAGAUGUUGGGUUAAGUCCCGCAACGAGCGCAACCCUUAAGCUUAGUUGCCAUCAUUAAGUUGGGCACUCUAAGUUGACUGCCGGUGACAAACCGGAGGAAGGUGGGGAUGACGUCAAAUCAUCAUGCCCCUUAUGAUUUGGGCUACACACGUGCUACAAUGGACAAUACAAAGGGCAGCGAAACCGCGAGGUCAAGCAAAUCCCAUAAAGUUGUUCUCAGUUCGGAUUGUAGUCUGCAACUCGACUACAUGAAGCUGGAAUCGCUAGUAAUCGUAGAUCAGCAUGCUACGGUGAAUACGUUCCCGGGUCU
rnacentral:rRNA from 1 species